rnacentral:rRNA from 1 species
GACGAACGCUGGCGGCGUGCCUAAUACAUGCAAGUAGAACGCAGUUGCGAACGGGUGAGUAACGCGUAGGUAACCUGCCUCAUAGCGGGGGAUAACUAUUGGAAACGAUAGCUAAUACCGCAUACUGUGAGAUUGACCUGCGUUGUAUUAGCUGUUUGGUGAGGUAAAGGCUCACCAAGGCGACGAUACAUAUCCGACCUGAGAGGGUGUACGGCCACACUGGGGCUGAGACAAGGCCCAGACUCCUACGGGAGGCAGCAGUGGGGAAUAUUGCACAAGGGGCGCAAGCCGGAUGCAGCCAUGCCGCGUGUAUGAAGAAGGCCUUCGGGUUGUAAAGUACUUUCAGCGGGGAGGCGUUACCCGCAGAAGAAGCACCGGCUAACUCCGUGCCAGCAGCCGCGGUAAUAC